rnacentral:sRNA from 1 species
GUUAAGCUGAGGUCGUCUGAGCCCUGCGACAGCCUGGACAGCAACUCAGGAUGGCAUCAGGCAGGGCACGCUGCACCCGAAAACUCCGGAACUGGGUGGUGGAGCAAGUGGAGAGUGGGCAGUUUCCCGGAGUGUGCUGGGAUGAUACAGCUAAGACCAUGUUCCGGAUUCCCUGGAAACAUGCAGGCAAGCAGGACUUCCGGGAGGACCAGGAUGCUGCCUUCUUCAAGGCCUGGGCAAUAUUUAAGGGAAAGUAUAAGGAGGGGGACACAGGAGGUCCGGCUGUCUGGAAGACUCGCCUGCGCUGUGCACUCAACAAGAGUUCUGAAUUUAAGGAGGUUCCUGAGAGGGGCCGCAUGGAUGUUGCUGAGCCCUACAAGGUGUAUCAGUUGCUGCCACCAGGAACUGUCUCUGGUGAGUUUCCCCUUGUCCAACCACUGCUAGACUCAGCAGACUGGGGAGGAAGGAUAGAUGUGCAGGCUUCCCCCAGGCUUCUCAUAGCUCUGCCCUGUCCGUGCCCUUGGGGGGCUGCAACCCAGGUUUCCCUUC